rnacentral:rRNA from 1 species
UUAAAUUGAAGAGUUUGAUCAUGGCUCAGAUUGAACGCUGGCGGCAGGCCUAACACAUGCAAGUCGAACGGUAACAGGGAACAGCUUGCUGUUU